rnacentral:rRNA from 1 species
UACGUAGGGUGCGAGCGUUGUCCGGAAUUACUGGGCGUAAAGAGCUCGUAGGUGGUUUGUCGCGUUGUCCGUGAAAACUCACAACUCAAUUGUGGGCGUGCGGGCGAUACGGGCAGACUGGAGUACUGCAGGGGAGACUGGAAUUCCUGGUGUAGCGGUGAAAUGCGCAGAUAUCAGGAGGAACACCGAUGGCGAAGGCAGGUCUCUGGGCAUUAACUGACGCUGAGGAGCGAAAGCGUGGGGAGCGAACAGG